CCUACGGGAGGCAGCAGUGGGGAAUUUUGGACAAUGGGCGCAAGCCUGAUCCAGCCAUGCCGCGUGUCUGAAGAAGGCCUUCGGGUUGUAAAGGACUUUUGUCAGGGAAGAAAAGGAACGUGUUAAUACCAUGUUCUGAUGACGGUACCUGAAGAAUAAGCACCGGCUAACUACGUGCCAGCAGCCGCGGUAAUACGUAGGGUGCGAGCGUUAAUCGGAAUUACUGGGCGUAAAGCGGGCGCAGACGGUUACUUAAGCGGGAUGUGAAAUCCCCGGGCUCAACCCGGGAACUGCGUUCCGAACUGGGUGGCUAGAGUGUGUCAGAGGGGGGUAGAAUUCCACGUGUAGCAGUGAAAUGCGUAGAGAUGUGGAGGAAUACCGAUGGCGAAGGCAGCCCCCUGGGAUAACACU
rnacentral:rRNA from 1 species